CAGUCGCCACGGGAAUACGAAGGGUGCAAGCGUUACUCGGAAUUACUGGGCGUAAAGCGUGCGUAGGUGGUUGUUUAAGUCUGCUGUGAAAGCCCUGGGCUCAACCUGGGAAUCGCAGUGGAUACUGGGCAACUAGAGUAAGGUAGAGGAUAGUGGAAUUUCCGGUGUAGCAGUGAAAUGCGUAGAGAUCGGAAGGAACAUCUGUGGCGAAGGCGACUAUCUGGGCCAUUACUGACACUGAGGCACGAAAGCGUGGGGAGCAAACAGGAUUAGAUACCCCUGUAGUCCCUGUCUCUUAUAC
rnacentral:rRNA from 1 species